GGACAUACGGGUCAGAGUUUAGUUAAACAUUAAUAAAAGGGGAAAUUACAUGUUUACCACAUUUAUGGUACCAUUUUUCAUUUUUACCACCACUAAAAAACAUUUUCAAAAAUAUUUUUUUUUCAUCAAGUGGCAAAAAACUCUUAUGCUCUUGUUAUUAUAUAUAUAAUAAAUUAUUAUUUAAAUAAAAAAAAUAAAAAUAAAAAUAAAAUAAAAAAUACAAAAAUAAAAAAUACAAAAAAAUAAAAAAAUACAAACAAAAUAAAAAAAAUACAAAAAAUGCAAAAAAAAAUAAAAAUAAAAUUAAAAUUAAAAAAAAUAAAAAAAAAAAUUUUAAAAAUAAAAAAAUUUUUAAAAAAAUAUAAAAAAGGUAAAUUUUUUUAUGUUUUCGAAUUAUAUUUUUUUCAAAUUCGAACUUUUUUAUAAAAUUUUUUUUCUGAAAUUUUCUUUUUCGUUUCAUUUUUAUUUUUAUUUCAAAUUUCUUUUUGAAAAAUGAAAAUUAUGUUUAAAACUAUUUUUUAAAAAAUUUUAUAUAUUUUUUAAGUAUUUAUUUAUAUAUUUAUUAGAAUCCUAAAUUUCACAUUUCAAAAAUUCUACCCACCCCUUAACUCUAAACUCUAAGAGCUUGAUUGGUUUUCCCGCUACCACCCGCAAACGCAGCUUUUGCGGUUGGUAGCGGUUGACAGCGUUUCGAAACAAUCAUACAAACCGCUACAAAUCGCUUCAAACCGCUCCGAACCUCUUAAAAUCAAAAGCUGGUUCCAGCUAGCGUUUGCGGUUGCGGGCGGUUGCGGGAGGAUAAUUUUUUUUUUUUUUUAAAAAAAAACCAUAUAAAUACAAAAAUAAAAAUAAAAAUAAAUUUUUUUAAAAUAAAAUUAUGAAAAUACUAAAAUAUAUCUAUUAUAUUUUAAUUAAUAUUAUAAAAUUUUAAAAUAAAAAUAUUUUCUAUAAUUUUAAAAUUUUAAAACUAUAACUUUGAAAAUAUAAUUUACAUACUUAUUAUAAUAUUAUGAUUUUUGAUAUUUUUAUAAUUAUAUAAAAUAUAAAUAUUGUUAAUUUAUUAUUUAACCGCUGCUGUAUUUGGUAGUUAAUCAGUCAUAAGUAUCCC
rnacentral:lncRNA from 1 species